AUGUGUUUUCUAAUUUUGUGUGUGGUGUGAAAAGGAAGGAAACACAUUGACACAGUCCAGUUAAACAUCAUGAAGUGCAUAAACGGAGCCUUUAUCAAAAGUGUGUUUAGUUGUGUGUUUAGUUUGAGCCUGUUCAGACUCUGAGGAUGGGAGCCUCUCUGCUCUGGACACUGCGGUCCAUCUUGUUUUGUGUCGCCGUCUGCAAACAGACAACAGUUACAGGUGACAGGGCGACUCUAGAUGUCACUCAACAGUCUGUGUAUCUGGGGGAAAAAGUGACUGUGAUGUGCAGAGGUCAUGGAGAAAAACAACUGCAGUUUUACAAAAAUGGGAAACUCGUACAAGAG